AUUGAACGCUGGCGGCAGGCCUAACACAUGCAAGUCGGACGGUAGCACAGAGGAGCUUGCUCCUCGGGUGACGAGUGGCGGACGGGUGAGUAAUGUCUGGGGAUCUGCCCGAUAGAGGGGGAUAACCACUGGAAACGGUGGCUAAUACCGCAUAACGUCGCAAGACCAAAGAGGGGGACCUUCGGGCCUCUCACUAUCGGAUGAACCCAGAUGGGAUUAGCUAGUAGGCGGGGUAACGGCCCACCUAGGCGACGAUCCCUAGCUGGACUGAGAAGAUGAACAGCCACACUGGAACUGGGACAAGGGCAAGACUCCUACGGGAGGCAGCAGUGGGGAAUAUUGCACAAUGGGCGCAAGCCUGAUGCAGCCAUGCCGCGUGUAUGAAGAAGGCCUUCGGGUUGUAAGGUACUUUCAGCGGGGAGGAAGGCGAUGUGGUUAAUAACCGCAUUGAUUGACGUUACCCGCAGAAGAAGCACCGGCUAACUCCGUGCCAGCAGCCGCCGUAA
rnacentral:rRNA from 1 species